GUUUAUAUUUGUUAGCAUAAACAGUGACCAGCUGAGGACAGGGCUGUAAUUGGAGUUGACAACGUUUUAUUUUCAUAGUUGAUAUUGGGGACCUGGACCUAAAGCACUGUACCUUGCCCUUUCACCAGUUGGGCCAAUGCCUCUCUAUACUUGUGUCUAUUUGACUAACUACCCAAUAUUGACUAGGAAUUAUGGCGUGUAGGAUACCCCUUACCACACUCUACAUAACAAAGCAUAAAUAAUCACAGAGGAAUGAUUCUGUGUUGGACUAUUCAGUGGACAGGACAGAGAACAGCAUUCUGACCAGUGUGAGACACAGUCUCCGUUCCCAGGAAGCCCGUGAGGUGGCUGCACGGAGCACACGCGUGAAGAUUCAGGAGCACGAGCGUCAGGUGACAGGAGGGGCACGGAGGCAGCACCAGACAGAUGACUGCCGAGGGGCCGCUGCAGCCGGGCUGGCCGGGAAGGUCACGGGAGCGGGCGCAGGUGUCUCCCUCCAACUGCACUUGGUUUUCAUGAGGACGCGUGCAGGGAAGGGGAUGACACUGAAAUGCUGUGGCGCUGAGGGGAGGAGGGGAGGGACGCAGGGCUGAGGGCUGGCCACCACCCCUUGCAUCCAUGUCCCUAUGAACGCUGCCAAAAUCAGCCCCAAUGGGAAGAAGUGAGGUGGGUGAAAGAGGUGGACAGACUUGGCUUCCAUGGAAUUCACAGAUUCCAGUCAUUAAAAAUCCCUUCUGAGUUUUCAUCUGGAAAACUUUGCAAAUGUAUUUAGGGACAAGAGGCAGAAAAUGAAGCCAACACAGUUGGGCUCAAACCGCCGCCCUUCUCCUCUCUGCAUCCAGGACCCGCCCUGAGCCCCUGAGUGCAAGGACCCCGAGCUGCCCAGCUCAAGAGCGUGGCCCCUGACCAGAGGAGGGAGCUGCACAGAGGGGCCCCCAGCACGUGGAUGGCAGGAUCUGUGCUAUCUCAGUCCCAGGGCCCCAAGCAGAGAAGGCCUGGGGUUCCCAGCUGAAGUUUUGCUGUCUCCUCUGUCACCAAAGUCGAGAAGGACUGAGUGGGACCAACACCGGACCUGCAGUCUCCUCGCUCCUCGGUGGCUGCCGAUGUGGCCCUCAGGCUGCGGGUGAGACCGUCUAGGGAAGCUCAGACAGCGGCGGGAAUCACAGCCACGAGUGCUCCAGGGGCCCCAAAACACAAGCACAGCCUGAGGAAGGCAGCGCCCGCUCAGAUCCACGUCCAGGCUUGUGUGCCACACUCGAGAGGCACACGGUACCAGAACAUGGUGCUUUAAAUGGCUUUGUGGGGUGUAGGAACAGAAAGUGGGGCCUCGAGUGGUUCAGAAGUCACUCCCACCAGCCCGCGGGGACCCAGGCAGCCCCUCUGGACGUGACUGGAGUCUCUCCAGGGUGGGCUCCAAAGUCCCACAGAGGUGAGCCUUGGUCUUGCUCUGACCUGAGGAAGGCCCCUGACAAGCAUCCUGAACGUGCAGCCACACAGCUGGCUGACUCAUGUGAAGGGACCUGCUGAACCACGAGCCAGGGAUGGCUGGAGAGAACUCGACUAACACACGAUCCCUGCCCAGGCGCCCACCUGGGGCGUCCACGAGAAAACUACGGAAGCUGUGAAGACGGAGGUGUGCACGGGGCUGGGAGAACACAGGGAGGAGCCGCACUGGGGACCGGGAGGGACAGAGGGCUGGGCCCCACAAGCAAACGAGGGAGUCGCUCAGUGCCAUGAAGAUCCCAGUGCACCCACAGAUGCAGGCCUGGCUGGCAGCACGACCUUGGCUGCAGGGGCCCAGGACCACGUGUGUUUGGCAGGAGCUGCCCUCCUGGAGCUGCACUAUGGGUACUGUCAUUUUAGAGGCAGGUACCUGAUAUCAACGAUGACAAUCAACUGUGCCACCCUGAAUUACAGCCGUGUCCUCAGCGGGUCACUGUUUACGCUGACAAUUACAAAGAGCUUGAACUCGCUGUCCCAAGAGGAAACAAGCCCUUCAUUAUCACCGCCGCAAGCCUCUGUGCGGCCCUCCUCCCCCGCGGCUUCCCGUCGGGGCAAUGUGAAGUCCCAUGACAGUGACUCAAGAGCCAGUCCAGUAGCUUCAGUGCAGGAAAAAUCACAAAAACUCAAACACAUCCUAAACGUGGGCAGUUGGUAGGAGCCGAUUCCUAAAUUAAACCUGUUGAGAGGCUUUCUGGGCUAGCACAGCUCUGAUCACAGGCUUGUGCUUUCUGCUCCCCACGAAGGGCGGCGAGGAGGCUGGGCUCUGCCAUUCUGCAGGCUCCGCUAUGUGGAGUCCGCCCUGUGGCCUCGGUGGCCCCUGCCAGACAGUGUGACCGUCGCCCGCAGUGAACACUCAGCACAGCAGAGCAGGCUUGGGGAAGAACAGAAAGAGACCUCUAAGCCUGCAGAAGUCGCUAAGCCAGGCACGGCCUCACGUGCACUGCGUGUCAAUCACGGCCUAAGCAAGAAUCAGCUCUUAAUAGUUCCAGUAAAUGCAAAGACCGCCCUGGAAAACUGCCUGAACCUUUCUGACUACUCACAGGUGAGGAGCCACUGCCUGACACACAAAGGUAAAGAAUUAACCUGAAACUGCAUAUUAUAAAACUUAUUUUCAAAUGACGGCACUUAAUUUAAAAGACUCCCAAAGAAUACUGCAUUAGAAAGUGACAGAGUGAAACUGUGAGGUUGACCACAGGAGUCCCUGGAAAUUUCACCAAAUGUUGUGUCAAAACUGGGAAACAGAAGAACCACACCUGAUGAAACAUUCGAUUAAUCACUCAAGUCCUCCCCACAUAGGAAGUUAUGUUAAAAAGUGUUCCCAGAAGGUAAAGUGAGCAGGAGGGCUGUGAACACACAAAGAAAGAGCCACUUCAUCCACGACCACGACAAAAGAAACGCUAACGAGUGCCAAUGACACACUGCAGUCCAGGACUCUGGGCGCAGCUGUGAUGGGGACACUCAGGAUCCCACUGUCCAGAUGGGAAACCACGGUGGAAACACCAGGGAGCCUGUCCCAGGGUGUGGAGCCAGUGAACGGUGGUUCAUACUGGGCCAAUCCCUGCUGCCAGUCUCUGGGACUCCUGGGGACAGAAUCCUGUUGACUUCACUCUGGGGUGCCAGAGGUGGCAGCAUCCCCCAAAGGCACCUGGAGAAGUGGUGUUACCCUCCAUCCCCUGUCCCCGGCGUUACCCUCCAUCCCCUGUCCCCAGUGUUGCUCACCAUCCUCCUCACCUCCAGGCCCCUCUCCGUCUCCUCCCUCAUUUUCCUGUUCACCCAGAGCAUGUCACAUGACUCUUACCUUUUCAAGAGGCUCAGCUGCACCCAGAGGCAUUCCAGCCUAUUCGGGACGGGACACACACCCUGAGGAAAUGCCAGCACAGGGCCGGAAGGGCCUGAGACCCUCUCACUGUCACCCAGGAAGGAUGGAACAGCCUACAGUCACGCUGCUUGUCAAGCAGGAUGAAAACAUCUGUGUCCAAAAUAUUCUUUUCACUACAACUGUUCAGACCAUUCGUGAAUGAAUCAGUUAAAUACCAACAAGGGCCAUUCCCACUUAUUCUCUGGCUACAGUUUUUCACCCAUCAGCAACCACACUCCUAGGACCUAUCCCUAACGAAGUAUCAGUGCCUUGUGCCUUUUAGGAAAACCUCUUUCUCUCCAGCUUUGUCCUCCUUCCACAAAAGGUGCCUCUGACUGCCUCACUCGCCGUACCAGGAUUUCACUUGGCUACAGACGAAAAUCUGCAUGGGGCUCAGAGGUGGGUGGUCCCCGCAUGGGCAGCAGCUCUGUGACAUCAUCCAAGGAGCCUGGCCCAGGCCUGCCCCACAUGCUAGGACUCUGUCUUCUGACACUUGGGCCCCUGAAGCUGCUUUCCCUCCAGGCAUCAUGCCCCGGGCAAGAAGGCCGGACAAGGGCUCAGGGCUGCUGUGGGUCGGGAAAGCCUCCCGACACCUCCCUCUCCAGGACCCCCCAUCAGCAGCCCAGCAUCUGGACCUGUGUCACCAGCCACUCCGCCGUGCAAGAGAAUUAGUUUUUUAGCUGGAUGCGCUGCUUCCCUAAACAAAGUAGGGUGUUGUUACUGAGGAAAAAGCUGGCAUCUUCUUGGCAACCCCGCGACAUCCAGCCACCGGUUUUCACCACCCCAGAGAUGUCCACCCAGGGCAGAUAGUGUCUUCAACCAAGCGCCACUGACCCAGAAGUGCAGUAAUUAGUACACUUUCACCAGAGUCACCCACUCCUUCACCUUUACACCCAAGAAAAACAUGUUUGCCAGGCAAAUUAGAUGUCCGGGAGGUGUAAGGAAACCCCAAGCCUGCUUUAAGCCUCAGACUUUUGAGACAGUUGAGGGCUGUGCACACAAGAGCAGGGCUGCACCUGAAAGCUCUGCUCCUGCUGGACAUCACGGAAAGACUGCAUGGCUCAGCCACAUGGACCCUUCCAGGACUUCACCAGAGGGACCUCUGUGGUACAUGCAAUGAUGUGCACUUCGUUCAGCCUCAAACAGACCAUGCCCUCAUUCCAGGGUCAGUGAUCCACCUCCUGCCAUCAGCCCCCCACCUCACCGAGGGUCUGUGUCUGCAUCUGUCAUAACUUUGCUGUUUUACCUGGGUACUAAAAUGCAGCAUCAGAAUGUUUAAAGAUCUUUAAAUACCAACAUUCUGGGUGCAGUUCUUGGCACUUUAAUGUGGUCACUCAAUGCAGGCCUCACAACUCUCAGGUAGCUCAUACCUUUCCUACCUAACCAAGGAAGAAACGGAGGCAUGGAAGGUGCAGCUCCGAAGGAGCAGGUUAGGAUUCAAACCAGUGAUCUUCGUUACAUGCUGACCUACCUCUCAGGCUGAGAUAACGUUCAAAAUUAACCAGGUAGAACAGUGUUCCAUAAAUCAGCCAGAAAUGGUCCUUGUGGAUGGACCUGUGGUUAUUCCCUGAAGAACAAGACCAUUCACCCGAAAAUCCACCUGUGUCACACUCAAAUGUUUACAUAUCCAAUUAUUUUUAAAAUACCCCAAUCAAGCAUGUUUACAGCCAUUUAGAUCCAUAUAGAUUGUCUGUUUUGCUGACAAUCAACCCAAGACCUCUGUCAGCAAAGGACACGGUGCCAGGUCCAGAGAAGGUGGGACAGAGACGCAAACAGGAACAGCUCCGUCCCUGGGAGCCUCGCUCUGAUGGGCCAGUGAGGACAUAUCACAGACCGCGAGGCACACGCAGACGGCAGGCCAAGAGAAGGGGCUGCGCUGCCGGGAGGCAGUGCUUUGAGCUCUAGUGGAUGGAACACUGCUAACCAGAGAAGGUGGAGAGAGGGCACCCGUCUGAGAGGAUGAAGAGGCAGCAAAGCACAACUGGCCUCAGGGAACCAGAAGCCACAGGGACAUCAGGCUGGGUGCUGCUGUCUGCUGGCCACUGGCUGGGGGACUGUACUGGGCCUGGAGGGACAUCCCUGACACUCUCCACCGGAUGCCAGGGGCACCCCCAGCCCCAGGAAGCAGCUGCGAGGAUCGCUCUCCUGAGGACAGAACUGCUCCAGAACUACACAGCGAGGAUCCACAGAACCAAGAUCCGGGCCAGCUCCACAGCGGGCGAUCUUGACCCCUCACCCGUGGUCCUGAGGCAGGGAUCAGAGCCCCCUGGACACACAGACCCUCCCAGGAACUGCAGGAAGGGGAAGCAGACGCCCCGGACCAGCGGCAGGACCCAGGGUUUCUGCCCUCCAGGUCACAUGGGGACCAGCCACUGCACAGGUGGACACAUGGUGCUUUAACCCGCGCUGGAGGAGGUAGCCUUCGCUCUCAGCGUGGAAGGGCGGAGACCCCCACCCUCGAUGGGUCCUGGCCUCCCUGCUUUAACCCGUGCUGGGGGAGAGAAGCCCUCGCUCUCAGGGUGGAGACCGCAGCUCGAUGGGGCCGGCCUCCCUGCUGGGCACAGCCUGAGCCACAUGACCAAGGCCAGAGAGGAUUACCAAGGUUCACCUAGCCCAGCUUCCCGCAGCCCCUGACGAGGCCACUACCCUCACCUGAACAGUCCUGUCCAUCACCAAGCCCCACCCUCUUCUGCCAGCCCUGCCCCCACAAGGCCACGCUUCUCCCAUGCAAGCCCCGCCCCCAAGGCCCAGCUUGCCUGCAGCCCCGCCCCACUGUCUCCACCCCAUCUCCUGCAAGCCCCAUCCCCAAGGCCCAGCUCACCUGCAUCCCCACCCUACUAGGCUCCACUCCUCACCUGCAAAGAGCCACUCCUCACUAAGCUCCUCCCAUCACUUGCACAGCCCCGCCCAACAUAGCACGCCCUUCUAGAAACCCUAGACACACUAGGGUUUCUGCAGCCAAACCUGAUGAUUCGCCGAGUGUGAGCACGAAGACUCAGUGCCCUGAUCUGUUCAGUCAGGUUUUGCCAUCAAAUAGUUUGCUCUAAACUUCUGCAGAAUCUUUCAGUUUUCUGAGCCAUUUGGGUUUCAAAAUUAUAAAGAAGAAAUUGUAGACCUAUACUUACUUGGGUUUAUAUUAAAAUGGAUUCAUUUGUU